UGUGAGUGACUUUCCAUAACGCACAUUGCUGAUACUGUAGAGGACAUACUUCAUGCUAAAUCUCUGAACGGGUCAACUUCAUGUUCGACCUGUAGGUCAGCUAUUUGAGCAUAGGUCAGAUAAUAAUUCUAUAACGGAAUUGCGACCACAAAGAGAGCAAAAAAUAAUAAUUUCUCUCAUUAGACCUAGAUGUUUUGAAUGAACCAGACCAGAUGAGGAAAAUUCUAUUGAUUAAGUUAUGAAAAGCGCUUAUGAUUAAUGAAGUUAAGAAUUUAAGAAAUUUUAUGAAACAAAGAAAAAAAACCAACAACAAGAAAAUCGAAUGGAAUUGAUUAAUUAUGCGGUUUCAAAGCAAAAAUCUUCAAUGAGCUAAGAAAAAUCAUUUGCGGAACAAUAUUAAAUGUUUGGAAAAUAAAAUUAAAAAGAAAUAAAAAUUUUGAAUACUUAUGGGAUGGGAUCAAAUUACGAUUGAAAUUUGUCAACAAACAUUGGUAAAGAUGAAAUGAAUUUCAUGAGUAAUUUUUAUGAAAGCUGUGAUUAUUUAUCUAAUAUUUAACAAAACAAAAAAAUGAAUUGGAAAAUACUAUAGUUGACGAACGGGUAUGACCACAUUUUAUGAAAGAUAGGAUUUAUAAAUAUUUCGUUGAUUUUUAUCGUUUUUCUUCUUUUUUCUUUGGGUUUAAAAAUUGUUUUUUUAAAAUUUUAUUCAUUUCAUUGAAAUAUUUUGAUUAUUUUUUUUCGGUUUGAUGUUCGAUGUUAAAGAGUUUUUGCAAAUAAGUAAAAAAAAAAAACGGUCAAGCGGAUAUGUUACGAUAAGUUGUUCAAUGUUUAAAAUUCGUUAUUAAUUAUUAAUUAUCUAUUUUAUUACAAGAAAAUCACUUUAUGUAAAACAAAACGAAAAGAAUAAUAAAAAAAAUUAUAUAUUUUUCAUCACA